GGUUACUUUCGCUAUUUUUUAGAAUAUUGGGGCUCAAUACUAAAUACCAAAAAGUACAGGGAGCCGUUUGCAAUUUGUCCAAAGUCUGUUCACUUCUCUGUACAUCAACAAUCACGCAAAUUUUCUCAAAAACAAUUCAUCAAACAUCUUAUCCACUAUUCGAAUUCGGUUCUAAUGAGCCCUCUCUCGUCGACUCGAUUUCGAUUGGUAACCGAUAGAAGUUACAAUGAAAGAGAGGAAGACAUCUCGUUGCUGCCUCUUGGAAUGGAUUGAACUUUGAAACCCUCCUCUUCGCAAUUGGGCUGGAGUGAACACAAUCUGUUCUCAUGAUUUCCACACAUGAUGGUGUUGUUGUGUCACAGUUACUUCAUGGAGCAUCAUCUUACCUGAAUCAAGCGACUCUGAAUCGUAGUGGUAGCUUUUUUUUAGUGUUUCGUUAUAUAUGGUUUAUGUAAUUAUAGUGUUUAAGUUUAUGCUAGUUCCCUUCCUUCUAGUGUAACGUAAAGCUAAAAAAUGAUUAAGUACUUGAAAGCUACUAAGCAUGUGAAAUUCUCAGUAGUCGGGCUCGAAGAAUGCAGUGUUAAUUUUUGGAUUGAGCAGGAAUAUUAGUUAAAGAUGGAGUUACCACCUGAUGUUAUGAAUGUUCAAGCAACUUAUGAAAACCAUAUUGGUCUUCUUCUGGCAGAGGCGCAAAUCCCUGCACAAGAAGUGGCCAUUCCAGUCUCGAGUUUAAGGCAUAAAAGUGAUUACAUGACGAUAACAGAUGAUGAAUGGAGGAAGAUGCUAACACAAGUUUUCAUUGACAGUGCCAUUUUGAGGAAACAAGCGGAUUCCAUUCUCUGUUGUGCUUUAUAUACGGCUGAUACAUCUCCCGAUAGUACCCAAACGGAGUAAGAGGAUGCGCUUUCCUGAAAAACCGAGUUUUUUCGGAAUAUGAUGUAAUCAAGACUGUCUCUGUGAAUAGAGUCCUCCACUCCACAAUGGAAGUAGAUUGCAGGUGCAUAUGCAUCUGUAUUGACCAUUUAUUUUACUUGAGAAAGCUGAUUGCGUGAUGAUGCAAGGCGUGUGUGCUCUGCUCCAAAGAAACACAUCAAAUAAUGUGUAGAUAUGUAAUCUUUGUUUUGUAUAAUACUCGUAUUCUUUCCAAGAUGAAGAUAGUAUUUUUCCGAUACAGAGAA